rnacentral:lncRNA from 1 species
CUCAUUGGGCCCGGAGCCGCGCGGGAUGGUUACAAAACGCCCGUUUUAUAACCGGCGGGUGCCAACUCGGAUGGGGCGCGCAGCCCGAGGGGAGGGGAAGGGGAAGGGGAGAGGAGAGCACCGUUACACGCCUCUCCUUUGGUGAUGUUUUGUCUUCUUUCUGGGUUCAGCACGUGUCUUUCAUGGCAUGGCAUUGAUCCGGAGGUGCAACAGACGCUCCUCUAAGAGUCUUGGGCUAAAUCAGAAUACAUGCCUGUUCAGGCCCUGAUCCUGCUUCCCACAGGGGCCAAACAGAUCCCUCUGCUAAGCCCAGGCGGAGAGCAGGCCUUCUACCAGCAACAGGCACUUUGAGAGAGAGCGAGCGAGAGAGAGCCUGACAGCUUUGUUUAAUCAUCACAGAUGAAAUUCUAUGUUUUACUGACUGGAGACAGGGCAGUAAAAGCUUUCAACUCCCUUUUAAGUGAAUCAAUAUGGAGCCUUUUACAAGAUGAGUUUCCAGAUGGUGAUCUCUUUUAAUAGUAGUCAAAAGACACUAUGCACCCUUUCCAUAUUUUUUCCCUUAGCCUUUUUUUCCUGCUAAGAACAAAAGUCAGAAGCAGUGAGUAGUGAAAUGUGGGAUGGAUGGAUGGAUACACACACACACUGUUAAAUGAUAACUGUUGUAUUACAGGCCCUUGUCACUAUCCUCCCUAACAUUAAAGUAAAAGGUAGACCCAGGUGGGGAACCCUAGGCCAGGGGGCUGAAUCUAGCCUCUGGUUUCCCCCCCCCAAACACCAGCACCCCAACAUUUCUGAAACUGAAUUUGGCCCUUGGACCAAAAUAACUCCCACUCCCAACAUAAACAUGGAUGACGCCAUAUACGUCAUUGACAAUUUUACAGCAGACAUCUGGGCUGGGGGUGCAUCAAGAAAUCUAUUUUUGAAAUGUUUGGAUGAAUCACAGAAAAAGAACUCAUCAACAGAGAUAAUGCUUCGCAUCGUCAUUUAGAUGCAGAAUUGGUUUUAUAUAUAUAUAAAUUAAAUAAAAAAACACUCAGCUGUAGCUUUUCA